CAGCCGCCGCGGUAAUCCGUAGGUGGCGAGCGUUGUCCGGAUUUAUUGGGCGUAAAGGGAGUGUAGGCGGUCUUUUAAGUCUGAUGUGAAAGCCCACGGCUCAACCGUGGAGGGUCAUUGGAAACUGGGAGACUUGAGUGCAGAAGAGGAGAGCGGAAUUCCAUGUGUAGCGGUGAAAUGCGUAGAUAUAUGGAGGAACACCAGUGGCGAAGGCGACUCUCUGGUCUGUAACUGACGCUGAGGAGCGAAAGCGUGGGGAGCGAACAGGAUUAGAUACCCCAGUAGUCCCUGUCUCUUAUAC
rnacentral:rRNA from 1 species